rnacentral:rRNA from 1 species
UCGAGUGGCGAACGGGUGAGUAACACGUGGGUGAUCUGCCUUGCACUUCGGGAUAAGCUUGGGAAACUGGGUCUAAUACCGGAUAGGACAGCUGUUUAGUGUCAGUUGUGGAAAGUUUUUUCGGUGCAAGAUGAGCUCGCGGCCUAUCAGCUUGUUGGUGGGGUAAUGGCCUACCAAGGCGUCGACGGGUAGCCGGCCUGAGAGGGUGUACGGCCACAUUGGGACUGAGAUACGGCCCAGACUCCUACGGGAGGCAGCAGUGGGGAAUAUUGCACAAUGGGCGGAAGCCUGAUGCAGCGACGCCGCGUGGGGGAUGAAGGCCUUCGGGUUGUAAACUCCUUUCGACAGGGACGAAGCGUAAGUGACGGUACCUGUAUAAGAAGCACCGGCUAACUACGUGCCAGCAGCCGCGGUAAUACGUAGGGUGCGAGCGUUGUCCGGAAUUACUGGGCGUAAAGAGCUCGUAGGUGGUUUGUCGCGUCGUCUGUGAAAUUCCGGGGCUUAACUCCGGGCGUGCAGGCGAUACGGGCUGACUUGAGUGCUGUAGGGGAGACUGGAAUUCCUGGUGUAGCGGUGAAAUGCGCAGAUAUCAGGAGGAACACCGAUGGCGAAGGCAGGUCUCUGGGCAGUAACUGACGCUGAGGAGCGAAAGCAUGGGUAGCGAACAGGAUUAGAUACCCUGGUAGUCCAUGCCGUAAACGGUGGGCGCUAGGUGUAGGGGGCUUCCACGUCUUCUGUGCCGUAGCUAACGCAUUAAGCGCCCCGCCUGGGGAGUAC